rnacentral:rRNA from 1 species
GGAUGCGAUCAUACCAGCACUAAAGCACCGGAUCCCAUCAGAACUCCGAAGUUAAGCAUGCUUGGGCGAGAGUAGUACUAGGAUGGGUGACCUCCUGGGAAGUCCUUGUGUUGCAUUCC